rnacentral:lncRNA from 1 species
AGCGUUGCGGCUCAAGGCAAAGCUGGUCCUGUGCCUGCUGUCCACUGCCGCUAAGGCCUGCUGCUGCCAUUCAGGCGUGUCUCUCUCUCUCUCUCUCUCUCUCUUUCAUGCUGCUCUCUCCACCCCAUCUUGGGACGGCCAGCUCUAAGAAUUCCUGCUACGACACUGAAUUCAACCAGGAGGUGAUGCCACACUCAAUCAGAAACUAUGCUACUGUUGAAGAGGCAUAUUGAGCUCUGCCUGGUUAACCUCCAGUGAGGUUGUUAGAGAAUUGGGAGAGGCUCAAAUCAGCAUCCUGCACCUAGUUAUCAAACAAUUGUGAAGUCUUGAUUCCUGGAUGGCCAGAAAACUUGUCAUUGGUCAAGAGCAACAUUAAGAUCUGCCUGUUACUCAUACAGAUGCUUCUUGCGCAGCAAGUUCAUCAGAGGGCGAGGAUGAAUUACGGUUGCUAUGAAUGUCCUUGUGAGGCAGUUGGGAAGCCUUGGCUGGAUUGUGAAGGAUAUUUGAAAAGUAUUUUAGACUCCACCAGAUCAUCCAUGUGAGUGACCAUGCAGCAAAAGAAGGAGGGUCCUCUCAGUGAUUAAGGAUUAUGAAGUAUUAAUUCUUCCACUGAUAUCUCAAAAGGUGAUCUGGACAAAGGAACAGGUAUCUCAGAUUCCCAGUUCUCAAUCUUCCUUCCUCCUUAACAGAUACAAGCAACCUUCAACCUUCCA